ACAAUGAAAUAAAAAGAAAGAAAGAACGAAGGAGAAAAAAUGAGUGAGAAACACACAUUUUUCCAUCCCUCUUUCCCUCCUUUUCUUUUAU
rnacentral:ribozyme from 13 species